GGUGCGGUGUAGCCCGAUGGGUAAGGGUGGCUGCCCGCCCAGCGGCGGGUAAGUGGAUGCUGGUUCGAGUCCAGCCCCGCAUCA
rnacentral:tRNA from 1 species